rnacentral:rRNA from 1 species
GACGGAGGGUGCAAGCGUUGUUCGGAUUGACUGGGCGUAAAGGGCGUGUAGGCGGUUCGUUAAGUCGGGUGUGAAAGCCCGGGGCUCAGCUCCGGAAGUGCGCCCGAAACUGGCGAGCUGGAGCGCGGUAGAGGAGGGUGGAAUUCCUGGUGUAGCGGUGGAAUGCGCAGAUAUCAGGAAGAACACCCGUGGCGAAGGCGGCUCUCUGGAACGCAACUGACGCUGAGACGCGAAAGCGUGGGGAGCAAACAGG